rnacentral:rRNA from 1 species
CCUACGGGUGGCAGCAGUGGGGAAUCUUCCGCAAUGGGCGAAAGCCUGACGGAGCAACGCCGCGUGAUCGAAUGAAGGCCUUCGGGUUGUAAAGAUCUGUUGACAGGGACGAAUAAGCAAUGCGAAUAGUUUUGUGUAUGACGGUACCUGUUUAGAAAGCUCCGGCUAACUACGUGCCAGCAGCCGCGGUAAUACGUAGGGAGCAAGCGUUGUCCGGAAUUACUGGGCGUAAAGGGCGCGUAGGUGGGCGCUUAAGUCAGGUGUGAAAACUCCGGGCUCAACCUGGAGACUGCACUUGAAACUGGGUGUCUUGAGGGCAGGAGAGGAAAGUGGAAUUCCUUGUGUAGCGGUGAAAUGCGUAGAUAUAAGGAAGAACACCAGUGGCGAAGGCGGAUGACUGGACGGCAACUGACGGUGAGGCGCGAAAGCGUGGGGAGCAAACAGGAUUAGAUACCCUUGUAGUC